CCGGUGAAAGGAAUCGAAGAACGGAGGUUCGGGGUGAUCUCACCGGCAACAAUGGUGGCGGUGACCGGCGGAGGAAGACGUCAACGUAGCCGGCUGUACAGAGGUUUUGGGGCCAAACUUUUUACAUGGGAAUGGGAGAGGAGAGGCAAAGGCUCAAAGUGACGCGCGUGGAAUCCUUUUAUAGUGGCCGAGGAGGGAGAUCGGGCGCGGAUGUCGACGGCCAACAUUCGGGGCGCCUCUUUUGGAAACUACGAUUAUAAGAGGAAACUUCAAAUUGAUUUCCUGAAUGGGUUCCCGGGAUGGUGAGGAUUGAUGGGGUGGUUUCCUUUCGGAGAGAGACGCGCGGGAAGGAAAGUAAUCAAAGGAUGAAAAUAUGAAAGGAGAGGUUUCCUUAGGUGCAGAGGAGAGGAGGAAGAACGAGCUCGUGCUCGUGCUCUGGCUGGGGCGCUCGGUGGAGAUGGGCCGGCCGUUGGCUCGGUCCAUUCUCUCUUUUUUUCCUUUUUCUUUUUUUUUCCAUUUCUGUUUUUAUUAAUAACUUUUGAUUCCUAACUCCAAAUAAGUCUAAGUAAACUCCAGAAAAUUUGUAAAUUCAAAUCCUCUAAAGUGUGAACUUUUGGGACUUGAAUCCUUUUAAAAUAAAAUAAGUAAAAAUACUUUUGCUUAUAUAAAUGUCAUUAGGGCUUUAUAAGUAAUACAUAAAAUAGGUUUUGAAAUCUAUUAUGAAACCUUUGUUUCAUAAAUUAGUUUAAACUCAAACAAAAUAUUGGGUUGGCAUACUUUGCACUAAAACCCUUUCUUAGCUAAAUACCCCAUUGGGUUAAACUCCAAAUAAAAUCUCAUAUUAAUUACAUGGUUCACUAAAUUCCCAAAUAGCUUUAUAACACCAAAUCACAAACCAUGUAAACCAUCACAGAUGUAUCCACUAUAUAUAUAUUUGGGAAGUCACGUUAUCCCUCUCAACGAUGGAUUAAAUGUUGGAAUAACAUUUGCACAUG
rnacentral:lncRNA from 1 species